ACCAUGUCCACAUAAGUCAGCUGACAGGAAGCUUCAGCAGCACGUCUGAUGAAGACUGCAGGCUUGGCAGUCAAAACGUGUCAGUGUAGUUGAUUAAAUCGGACAAAAUGAUCCUCUUCAGUUCUGUUGUUUACAUGUUCUUUUCACUGUGAAUUUUAGUGCCCACGGUGCAAAGCAAGAUGCGGUUAACGUGCAUCUGUGUGCUGGAGACGAGGCCUCAUCAGUGAGAUGACAGAGAUGAUGUUCCACUGCUCAGUCUGCUACUUCCUCAUCCAGGACUCAAACUUCAACCAGCAAACCACAGAGAGAAGAGACCGACAUGAAGGAGGCACAGAACUUCAACUCUGCACAUGCUGGCUAGUGCCUGCAGCACGAUCAGUCCAUCCUGUAUCUAUCUAUGAUCUGCUCUCAUCAUUUUAACUUUUGUACCUAAUGUGUGUGUUGUUUUUUUAAACAACAAAUAAAAACAUUUUC